AUGAUCUUCUUAGCCUGGAACUGCCGAGGAUUGGGGUUGGACUCGGCAGUUGGCGAGCUUAGGGACCUGGUUAGGUCAUACAACCCAGAGGUGGUGUUUCUUUCGGAAACGAAGAAACGAGCGGGGGCAAUGGAGAGGUUAAAAUGGAGUUUGGGUUUCCAUCAAGGUGUGGCGGUGGACUGUAAGGGCAAGAGUGGUGAACUGGCACUGUGGUGGAGAGAU
rnacentral:rRNA from 1 species